UACCGGAUAACAACAAUAGCUGCAUGGCUAUUGCUUAAAAGGCGGCGAAAGCUGUCGCUAAAGGAUGGACCCGCGGUGCAUUAGCUAGUUGGUAAGGUAAUGGCUUACCAAGCCGACGAUGCAUAGCCGAGUUGAGAGACUGAUCGGCCACAUUGGGACUGAGACACGGCCCAAACUCCUACGGGAGGCAGCAGUAGGGAAUCUUCCACAAUGGGCGAAAGCCUGAUGGAGCAACGCCGCGUGAGUGAAGAAGGUUUUCGGAUCGUAAAGCUCUGUUGUUGGUGAAGGAGGAUAGAGGUAGUAACUGGCCCCUAUUUGACGGUAAUCAACCAGAAAGUCACGGCUAACUACGUGCCAGCAGCCGCGGUAAUACGUAGGUGGCAAGCGUUGUCCGGAUUUAUUGGGCGUAAAGCGAGCGCAGGCGGAAAGAUAAGUCUGAUGUGAAAGCCCCCGGCUUAACCGAGGAAUUGCAUCGGAAACUGUGUUUCUUGAGUGCAGAAGAGGAGAGUGGAACUCCAUGUGUAGCGGUGGAAUGCGUAGAUAUAUGGAAGAACACCAGUGGCGAAGGCGGCUCUCUGGUCUGUAACUGACGCUGAGGCUCGAAAGCAUGGGUAGCGAACAGGAUUAGAUACCCUGGUAGUCCAUGCCGUAAACGAU
rnacentral:rRNA from 1 species